ensembl:lncRNA
CUCUAAUUGUAACCUAUGUUGUUGGAGAGAGAAAUAACAUCGUGGAAGAGACAUAAAUGAUGAUCUUUUGUUUCUCCAUCAGAAUAAAGGUGGAUGUUUGGCCUUCAGCCUUUUCUGUCUCACAUCAUAACUUCCUGUAACCUCCUCGUCAGCGUCACUCACCACCGACACCUGAUCAUGUCUGAACUUUUGCAUGUUUUUAUUUGCCUCACACAGUUAUUCUAUAAAUUGCAGUGUGAAGCCACGUUAUGACUCACUGUGAGUCGCAUGUUAUUUUUUAUCUUAAGAAAUUUCUUUUAUCAUAUUGUAAUUUUAUUUUAUUGCCCUAUAUACCAUUUUACAUAUUUAAGUUAUUUUGUAUUUAAAUGUAAUUAAUUAUUUAUUUAUUUUAAUUUUAACUGCUAUUAGAAAUGUCUUGUCUUCAUAUCUAUUCAUGGCAUACGAUUUGAUAGGCGCUGUACAUUUUGAAUUUUUACAAAACCUGCAACACUUUCAAAUUACCA